UUCUGGAUAGCUCAGUUGGUUAGAGCCUGGGGCUGAGAAUGCCAAGGUUGCAGAUCUGAUCCCCGCAUAUUCCUGAAU